UAGGGUGAAAUUGAACUACUGGGGGAGAAAUCAUCUUUAUGGAAUAUUGCUAAAUAAGUUAGUUACAGUGUUUACCCAAAUGAUUGUGAAGUGUGGAGGAGUCUUUAAAUGUUUCACAAACAUUUCUUUUGAAAUGGGUUUUUCAUGUUCAUUCUUCAAUUCAGACAUACACAAUAUAAAUUCCAUGCUAAUUAACAGAUUUAUAAAAAUUCCAGAAAAUCAAAAAUGUUCAUUAUUAACUAAUUGGAUUUCGAGAAUGAUAAACAAUACUAAAAUAUGAUUAAUAAUUCAUGUAACAUGAAUACCCAUUUACUCAUGUUGUGUUUGGGCUAAAUGAAUUUAUACACCUACACAUUUUUUUAACACACCCGGGAGAUAUAAUAUUAUACGUGAAU